rnacentral:tRNA from 1 species
GCCUUAGCUUAAUUAAAGUGUCUGGUUUGCAUUCAAGAGAUGUGUAUUAGUCAUACGCAGGUUUUA